AAAUUAAAUAAGCUUUACCAAUCGAAUUCCAAUUCCAAUAACCUUCAUUAAGGCUCAAGUUCUUUCAUUUCUUAGCAUCCAUCGGGUCACCAUCAUCAACUCUAACUUAUACCAUCACCAAACCAAACCAAUUUCUCGCAGCCACCAAUCCCCUGUUCACCCCAAAUCACCAAUGAAAUCGAAUCGAAAAUCUCACACAGAGAACACCACAGUGUAUUCCAUCCACCCCUCACUUGCGGCAAACAAAAAUCAAAUUAACACCUUAAUGUUUGUUUCGUUAUU
rnacentral:lncRNA from 1 species